ensembl:lncRNA
GUCCCACAGUAUCACAGAGAGGUCAGACAGGUGGAGUAGUCCCACAGUAUCACAGAGAGGUCAGACAGGUGGAGUAGUCCCACAGUAUCACAGAGAUCAGACAGGUGGAGUAGUCCCACAGUAUCACAGAGAGGUCAGACAGGUGGAGUAGUCCUACAGUAUUACAGAGAGGUCAGACAGGUGGAGUAGUCCCACAGUAUCACAGAGAUCAGACAGGUAGAGUAGUCCUACAGUAUCACAGAGAGGUCAGACAGGUGGAGUAGUCCUACAGUAUUACAGAGAGGUCAGACAGGUGGAGUAGUCCCACAGUAUCACAGAGAUCAGACAGGUAGAGUAGUCCUACAGUAUCACAGUGAGGUCAGACAGGUAGAGUAGUCCUACAGUAUUACAGAGAGGUCAGACAGGUGGAGUAGUCCUACAGUAUCACAGAGAGGUCAGACAGGUGGAGUAGCCCCACAGUAUCACAGACUGGCCCUGAUAACUAGCUAACUAACCUACUAUCUACUAGUCUACUGCCCCUGAUAACUAGCUAACUAACCGACUAUCUACUAGUCUA